rnacentral:rRNA from 1 species
GACGAACGCUGGCGGCGUGCUUAACACAUGCAAGUCGAACGAUGAUCCGGAGCUUGCGCCUGUUAUUAGUGGCGAACGGGUGAGUAACACGCGAGUAACCUGCCCCUGACUCUGGGAUAAGCGUUGGAAACGACGUCUAAUACUGGAUAUGAUCACUGGCCGCAUGGUCUGGUGGUGGAAAGGUUUUUUGGUUGGGGAUGGACUCGCGGCCUAUCAGCUUGUUGGUGAGGUAAUGGCUCACCAAGGCGACGACGGGUAGCCGGCCUGAGAGGGUGACCGGCCACACUGGGACUGAGACACGGCCCAGACUCCUACGGGAGGCAGCAGUGGGGAAUAUUGCACAAUGGGCGAAAGCCUGAUGCAGCAACGCCGCGUGAGGGAUGACGGCCUUCGGGUUGUAAACCUCUUUUAGUAGGGAAGAAGCGAAAGUGACGGUACCUGCAGAAAAAGCACCGGCUAACUACGUG